CAGAAGGGUUAGUGAUCAGUUUUCUAUGAUAGCCACACGUGCAAUGCCUUAAUUCAUUCAGCCUUCCUGAUAAUGACUCUACACAGGGCUACCAGUGGCUUUUCAUCUGGACUCUGAUCUAAUGACGAAUAGCCCUUGUUAGGAACGACGAGCCUGAAAAAAUAAAAGGAUGUCCAUUAACCACGCAGUACAGCUCAGAAACAACAACACAUGGUUGUAUCAAAGUCAUAUGACAGAUCCUAAGAAUGCUUCUAAAAGCUGCGUGAAAAGUAACUAAGAAAUGCAAGUCUACUGAUAGCAGGCUUAGUUUGGCUGUGUAGGGGAUUGCAUACACUCUGAUCAGUGCUCAGAUCUUCACAGAUGUAAUAAAGCUGACCUGGCUGUUCUAAAGCUUUUGUCAGUGGGUGUUACUGUUUAACCCUUUCACACCAAAUCACUCCUCCUUCUCCUGGCAACUCUAAAGCAGCAGCCUCUCCAGUGAGAAGUCACUCAUUUUACAGGUAGGCAUCAGCACUAGUUCCAUGUUCUCUACCUUAUUAUCUUCCCCUACUAAUUUCAGUGUUUCUAAAUCUCUUGAGCAGCAAAUCUGCCACAAUUGCUCUUGAGAAGCUAUCAUGCAGCCUACUGCCAAAAGAAUCCAAGUCUUCCCUGACUGCAUUUGGAAACCAAUGAGGAGCAGUAGGCACGGAAAACCCAUCUCAGAGCACUUGCUAAAAUUCUUACUGCUACUAAGAACCUAACUCCUUCAUGCGGUCUCAAAAACCAAAUGCAGAGCAGUGAGCAAUGCAGUAUCUUUCACCAGUGUCGCAGGGGCUUACAGAUAAAACUUGACAAGGUCUUGGCAUGAUUUAUGACUACAGCUGUGGGUUUUGGGAACUAAUUUGAAACUGAUCUGUUGGAUGUGCUGCAUAGAGAGAGGCUCUGACCUGCCAGUCCUGUUCUACUUAGUAUGUAGUAAUUCAUGACACCUUCUCAUUCAUCAUUAAAAAUGCAGCUUUCAUGUUGUAUUCGUUCAGCUGAGAUAGAGUUGAUUUUCUUCACACUAUAUGGUAUGAUGCUAUGUGUGGGAUGUAGGAGAAAAAUAAUGUUAAUUACACACUGACGUUUUUGUAGUUGCUGAACAGUGCUGGACAGAGCCACAGACAUUUCAGCUUCUCAGCUUCUCAUACUGACCGGCCAGUGAGGGGGGCUGUAGCACAAGGAGCUGGAAAGGGACAGAACUAGGACAAAGGGAUAUUCCAUACCACAUUACAUUAUGCAAAAAAACCAAAACCAAACAACCAUAAAACUGAUGGCAGUUGGCCAAGGAAGCUUCCACUGCCUGGAGACUGUCUGGGCAUCAAUCAGUGAGUGGUGAGCAAUUGGUUUGUGCAUCACUUCUUCUCUAUAAGUAUGCAUAUAUAUAUGUUAUUACCAUUCCUGUUAUUUCUUUCUUCCUUUUCUGUCUUAGUCAAUAGUGUUUAUUCCAGCCUUUUUCCAAUUCUCUCCCUCAUCCCACUAGGAGGGGGGUGAGCAAGCAAAUGGCUGUGCAGUGUUCAGCUGCUUGCUGGGUUAAACCAGAACAUGUGUAGAUUCUGCUGUCAUUUUAAGCGUGAUCCUUCACUUAAAAUUACCACCUUUCUCGUAGCAUGCAAAAUGUGCAAUUCUGUUGACUCAGUGUGGUUCCUGCCCCCUGAAUGCAGAUAAGUGAUACAUUAUUGUAGUGAAGCCUGCAUGGAAAAAACAGAAAUACACUAAAAUAAUGUAUUCAUCUAAAAACUUUUUUA